GCACUGCUGAAGAGUUCCAAACAGGACGAAACAGCUGUCCAGUGC
rnacentral:hammerhead_ribozyme from 1 species